CUCGUAUUCUAGCCUUCCAGGAGUUUCUUCAACUACACCGGACACUCUUGCUCCAUGUGGACUAGAAGAAAUAUAUGUAAAGAUUUAAGAAGAUUUUUGUGUAUAUUCUUGAAUAUUCUUUAUGUAAAUUAAAGUUAUUGAAUGAAACUGGUGGCUUUGCUGAAGACCAACUUACAAGGUUCCAGCGAAUCCAGCGGCUUUGUGUCGAAGUAACGUGGGUUCAGGUGGUCGACACAUCAAAAUCAAUUCUUGAUCAGCUAGCAUUACAACACCGGGAAAAGCCGGAAACCAUAUUCGCAGAACGAGGAGAAAAACGCAGUGAAGGCGGGAAACGAAAAUUUCGAUCGAUGACUCACGUUCCUCUUCAGGAUGCCGCAUCUCGAGAAGUCAGUCACCUUCAGGAAGUAGUUAUCUUCCUGAGGAUCGUUGGGAUCUGGCCUGAUCUGGCAGUGAAUGUCGGUGAGUGGAUUGGCGGAUCUGUCGUCGGCA